ACCUUCUUGUAUAAGCACUGUGCUAAAAUUGCAGAAACUAAGAUUGCCUCUUAGUUUCUGUAGUAAUGCUAGCAGAGUACACACAAGAAGAAAAAUAACUGCACUAGAUUGUAAAAGACUGGGGUGGACCUCUUUCUUAAUGUCCAGUGUCCUUUGUCUUAAGAUUUGGUGCUAUAUGC